UGUGUGUGUGUGUGUGUGUGUGUGUGUGUGUGUGUGUGUGUGUGUGUGUGUGUGUGUGUGUGUGUGUGUGUGUGUGUGUGUGUGUGUGUGUGUGUGUGUGUGUGUGUGUGUACACCUGCAUGUGUACAUAUAGGCGAUAUUGUUUGUGAAAACGGUUUAAAAGUCAUUGUAAUUUAAUAACCCUAACCUGAUACAUUCUUUACUAUAACUCCUACUUAUAGUUAAACAACAUUGUAUGUUAUGAUUUUAUUUGAUUGUUUUCUUUCUGUUUUACAGGUAACAAUUUGAAAUGUUUCUUUGGCCAGUCGACAGAACCACAAAUCUUUUCAAGGCGAGGCUAAAAACUUUUUGGGAAUUAGCGAUACAUUCACAGAGUGCUUAUGUCCGAUGAUCUCAGUUUGAUUCUGGAUGUGCCAGUGGGGAUUGUGAUAGCUGAAGAUUGGACAACUCUUUAACCCCUCAACUCUCUGAUUAGGUUAAUUAGAAUAGAAAUUGAGAUUGUAAUAGCACUUAGAGAUGUGUGUUAGACAUUAUAUAUUAUAUAAUGACAAUAUAUCCAACAUUAAAGUUAAUUUAAUUAAUAAACACAA